ensembl:lncRNA
AGCGCACAGCAACACAAGAGCCUGUGCUCACACUGCUACUCCUCAUCCACCUUCACCCCAUCCGCUUUUCCAAAUAUCAGCUUCAGCUUCAUUAAGGUAAUUUACAUAAAAUUAAAUGUAAACCCAUUUUGAGCAAACAUUUCGAUGAGUCUGGACAAAUUUACACACCGUGGGGCAAAAAUCAUAAUCAAGUAAUACAGAAUUUUCAUAAUCUCAAAUCUGCUCAUGUGCCUGCUUCCCAACCCACGCACCACCCUCACUUCUGCCCACAGGCAAACCCCGAUCUGCUUUGUCACUCGCAACUAGACUUGUCUUUUCUAGAUUUUCAGAAACGGAUGCAGACAGACUGUUAUUCUUGUCCACCCUUGACUCCAUCUUCCCUGCUGGGCGCUGUUUGUAAAUGCUGAUAUUGAAGGUACUCCUGCUGUUCUGUCUGCUGCACGGACUCUCUCUGUUCCAGUGAUCCGCGGGGCGCUGACCAGGCAGGUUCAAACCACGAAGACACAGGUGCACAUGCAAACAGUCAAGCUCCAGGCCAUCGUUGCCAGCCCUAGUACCUAAAGGGAUCAGGCCUGGGAAGCACUAGUUUACCACGAAACCAAGGAGAGUCCCGGGACACUGGCUGCUGCUGUGACCCCAGUCACAGCAGAUCCUCAGGUCUUCCGACGUUGAGUUAAGCCUCACCUCUGUCUCAUUUUAUGUUUCGACCUCGGUUUUCCAUUUUCUUUCUUCCCUUUUUAAUUUAUGAUAUCAUGUGUGCAGGUGUCAAGUAGAAAAGCCUCACUAGUUUCCUGAGUGGACAUGAGGGCCUCCUCCUUGCCCACUAUCCCAUCCAUCCUAAGCAGCCGCACUCACCUGGCUGCACGGGAGACUCACCUGGGAAGCAAGAAACCGACAUCUGGAUCCAAUCCAGCAGCUCCCAAUUCAAUGAGUCUGGGGUGGACCUCAGGCUUGGUGGAUGGCACAGCUGGCCUGGCCGGGGAGCCUGAUGGGCCCUGGGGUAGCCUCCAGGCAGCAUGCCACCCCAGCCCACUGCCAUAACAGGCACCAGAGGCCCGGUUCUUCAUUCUAAGAUUUUAAUGUCUCUAUUCAUCAAGGCACCAACUAUGUCCCCCAACAAAAUUCAUGCCAUGUCACAAUGUGUGCCGUGGUGCCACAGCCUGAGCAGUGGAUUUUUCAAUGAUGCUUAAAAAAUUUGUGAUAGGGUCCAUUGCAUUUAAUUACUAACACGAAGCCUGAGAUCUUAAAAGGAUCUUAUAUCUGCUCAGCACAGGGCACAGAUACACCUUCAAAGAGGGCACCAAUGUAUCUUAAAAAUGGUUUCUGCAACUGUGGUUCCGUCUGUCUGGGCCAAGACAGGAAGCCCCAAGGGCACAAUGGCUUCUCCUCAUUACAAUUCAAUCUAAUUAUAAUGAAGGAACCACAAAGCCUAUUGUGACACACAGGCGGGCAGAAAUCUGGCUCCUUCCUCAGAACAAAAUUGCGAAGUGUUUUCUGUCAGAGUGCUUGUCUAUUGUACUAGGGUGGAAGGGUUUCUGGAAAGAUUUCUGCCCUCAAGUUAACAUUUUAUUUUUGAGACAAAGAGUCCCAGGAAGAUGGAUAUUGGCUUUAAAGUCAAUGAAACCACUGGCUUAGCAUCAGAGAAUUUCCAGAUAGCUUACGCUUUAAUAUAUUAUACUACAAAAGAAAUUUUAUGAGCAUUUUUUAAAAUGUACUGCACACAAUCCUGCCUUCCUAAACGGAGUAUUUGAAACAGCAUUUUGCCUGUUACUGACGUCUGUUCAAAGUCAUCGUGAUAAACUCCCAGUGACUGGGCAUUAAAUCCCGAAAAGCGGCCACUGAGGCACGUUGGGCUACGUGCACUGAUGCCCGGUGGAGUCUGAUUUGUGGUGGGUUUUGAGGCCUCGGUUUACUUCUCUGUAGUUUUGCUGUCUCCUUCUUCAUUAUCAGACCUUCUAAGAGCCUGCUGCCUAGCGGGAAAGCAGGCAACACAGCAUGUGUAUAGAGAAGGUUUCAGAGCAAAGGCUACUUACUUAGUGUGUGCGGAGUGUGUGAACGGGUGUGCGUGUGCACAGGUGUGUGCUGGGGCAGUGGAGGGGGAGGAGGAGCCAGGGUUUUAACCCAGCGAGGUUCUCUGAUGUGACACAACCGAGCAGGCUUCUUGGUGCUUCUGGCGGAUCCCAAGGCUGAGCGUCCCCUGGGGACAGCAGGCCGCAGGGCCUUCUCUCAGCAGCAUGAAGAAGAAAGUAACCUCCCAGAGGACACCCAGGGUCAAGGCUGGCCACAGGCACUGGCUGAGUUUCAGUUUUCCUGCAAAAGCAACCCUAUAGCUAUUUCAACGUUUACACAACACAGACAGGUAAAAUGUACAAAGUGGAAACAAAGUGGAAAGUCCUCUGGCGUGACGUCACUCUCCCUCCACUCAGGUAUCCUACUGCACUGAACCACAUAAAACGAACGUUUUCUGGACCCCAUCAUUCAUUUCUUCCUCCCUGCACACUCAUCCUCCGUGUUAGGAACGGGACCCUUCCUAUCUUCCUGCUCUUCAGUGAGCCCUUCUGACCUGUUUUGGAUACACGUUCGUAUUAGUACUUAUAAAACUCAUUUUAAGCCAACCACAACAUCUCCUUCUAGGAAUGUACCUGAGUUAUUUAACCCAUCUCCAAUAAACAAUGUAUGAUGAGGGCCCUAGACAUUUGCAAAUACGUGCAAGUAUUUCCAGGAUAUAUGCUUUUAAAUGGAAAUUCCUGGGUCACUGAGCCUAAGUAAAUUUAACAGAUACUACCAGUUACCUUCCAAUCAGGCUGUGCCAAUAAUGGAACAACUUUUAAUUUAACAUGAUGCCAAUGCAAUCAUCUUUAGGCCAUGCAAGGUUCCCGGCCAAAACGGGAAAGAACAACGAAGAGCAAGUCAAGUAAAUGGGAACUGUGACCCCAAGCCCAUCCUGGUUGGAGGGAGCCCCUCUCACCAGCCUGCAAUCUCCGAGGCAGCGGAUUGGCAUGUGCGUGUGCCUGCCGUGCGCCCAGGCUGCGUGACUGCACACUGCUCCUGGAGCAUCGGGACCUCAGCAGAACCCAGGAAAACCCCAGAGCUGAGGUUCCAGUCAGUUUUCAGGCUGGGAAGGAGCCACAUUUCUCUUUGUUCUUACAACCAAUGCUGUACCUUCCAAGCCCAUGUAGCCAGAGGACAACACGGAUCAGACAUUUCUCUAGAAUUCUACCGAAAGGUAGGCAGGUUCUCAGCAAAUUUCUAAAAUCACACAACGCAGGAGUCCUCAGGUGGCACAGUGGGUUAGGGAUCCAACGCUGUCACUGCUGUGGCUCAGAUAGCAGCUGUGGUAUGGGUUCAAUCCCUGGCCCGGGAAUUUCUGCAUGCCUUAGGCAUAGUCAAAAAACUAAAAUAAAAUAAAAUCACCCAAUUUGUGAGUGUCAAAGCAGGAAUUCUAUAACCUCUAUGUGUCUACUCAGACACAUUUGGGGACAUACACAUUCCUGAGACUAGGCUCUGUUCAGGUCACUUGAGCGCUGGGCGGCCGUGGACCGGCCCUCACUGACAGCAGACACACCGCCCCGAGACGAUGCUGUGAGCGUCGGACGAGUGAGGAAACACUCUGCGAGCCACAGAGGGCUGAGGAGAUGCAAGGGGUUAUUUACCAUGAUUAUAACAUAAUAAAUAGCUCACAUUUACGUGCAUGUGGCGGGGGCAACGUGCAUUAACUCGCCCAAAUCUCACAGCUGCUCUGCAGGAGGGGGGUUACUCCCCACGCCAGGCAGGUCGGGAUGUGGAGGGAGCCAGGCUGUCUGGCUGCAGGGCCCAGCCCCGCACGCUGCUUGCUCUGCCACCGUGUUCCAGGCACAUUAGCGGCACACAGGUCACCUCCCCUGCCUCGGUUUUCUCAUCUCCAGGCUGAAGGGGGACUCUUCACUCAGCAUCACGCUUACUCCAGGAGUUUGUUAGGUAACCCGAAAGGUGACCUUUGGUAAAAGUGCCGCCUUCCUGGAGUUCAGAAAAAGCAGAUGUGGAGAUUUUCAAAGGAGUACGUCUGUGAAGAGUUCUGCUAUUUGUAAUCAUUUACCUCAUCUGGCCAUGGCCAGGACCCCGGGAAUUAAGGCAGGCCAAAGGUCUUCCUUGCACGCUUCUCCAAAAGGACUCAGGCAUCGAAACCAAGGCGCGACCCCUCCCACCAUUCAGCCCACCCAGGACAGCUCCUUGAGAAACUCGAGUUUGUACCCAAAUAACCUGCUGCUUGUAACUAACAUCCUCCUCACGUGCCCCUCCCCCAAAAGCCUCUUUCAGUAGAAAAUUAUUAAAUAAAUGAAAGAAGACUAUAGAAAGCUGAACUGAAUUAAAGGCAAGCAUCAGCCUAUGAAACAGCCCCCGAGGAGGGCUGUCUUAUUUUAGGAGGUGGGGGGGGGAGUUCUGCAUACAAAGCACGCUCAAAAUAGAGGUUCACCAAUCAAGCGCUUUUUCAUGCCCAUUAAUUAAAGCAGUAACUGCGGAGGGUUUAGUGCCACCUAACAAAAUCUGAAGUCAGUUUCAAAGACUGCAAUUAGAUGAAAGCAGAUACUAUUUUAUUGUGCUUUAAGAGAAAGAAAAUUUAAGGGCCUUUACUCUAGCUAGACAUUAAAUGAGUCAACAUUUUUUAAAGAGAUAAAGAAAACAAGAAAAAAAAAUUGCAAAAGACAGACCAGUAUUUUCAUACUUAACUAAUGUUAAAAGUAUUUUGUCUAGAAUGGAAAAUUCUCUCCUAUCCUUUUAGCUUUUAAGUAGCGCCAGGUGGGAGCGGGGGCUUUGCUUUGUCGCCAGAUGAAUGAAAACUGAGAAGUCUCUUCUUGGCCCCAUCUAUUAGAAACCAGAAUUGAUGAACUGCAAACAAGAACUAGAAUAUUUCUCAAUAACGGUUCUCAACUUUUCCAUAACAACUGCCAUUUUCUCAACAUCUAUUAUGUGCCAAGCACCUUGUCACUUACAUUCAAUCCUCUCAAAUACCUAUGGGUUAGAACAGGAAACAGAUCAGAGAGGUAGGGAAGCCAGCCACACAGUCAGGCAAGUGUUGAAGCCAGGACCCUCAGUUUUAUCCAAAGCCCAAGACUUUUUCCAAAACACCACAUCUGCCUGUAUUAACGUGCGGCUGAAUGCAUAGGAAGGGACUAACCCAUCAGGGACCACUGGGCCAGAAGGAAAGAAGAUUCCAGAGAGCAGAGGGACCAAAACCCUGGGAGCAGUAUAAAGGAGUGGUAAGAGAACUGGCUCCAGUUCAAACCCCAGGUCCUCGACUCGGCAACCCCAUGACCUGGGACAGUGACCUACUGUCCCUGCACCUCUGUCAUCCCGCCUGCCAAACAGGGAUGACACACCUCACAAGGCCAUGACGAGGACUGGGUCAAAUGCGGCCAAGACUGAGAACGCGUCCGGCCCACAGCGAGUGUGAUGCCGCUGCUGCUACUAAGACAGACACUCCAGGGGAGAGCA